CUUAAGGACUUGUGUGCACUGACUGGGUUUAUCUGUCUCAUUCUAAUAGCUUUGCUUUCAUUCUGCGGAUAUGAUGGGAAGCAUCAUCAUGACCACAUAAAAAACAAUUAAGAUUCUGCAAGGUGUAUGUAAACUUAUGCCCACAACUGCGUUGUAGCUAGAAGCCACAACAGACCCAAGAAAGUUAUUGUAAACAACAACAAAAAAAGGCACUGAAAAAUGAGUUCAGGAUCAAGGCAAAAGAAGAAAAAGAAGUAAGUGGUUUUACUGAUUACGUGUUUUUUGUUUAAGCCCAUACUAAUAUGUGAUUUUGUUGUGAGUAUGGAUGAAAUGAAAAUUACUGAAAUGAUUAGUCAACAACAUUAUCAACAAUAAGAAAAAUUUUGACAAAUAUUUUCGCUCAUAUGGUCUGAUGUAAGGGCCUGCAAUAAUGCAGUUUGACCAGUGUGGUGCUGUACAGCAGGAAGGUAAUUCAGCCCUCCCAGGUAGAAGAUGGCAAAACGAUUAUUAGAGGUGCAAAGAAAGCCAUAACAGUAUUCUGUCAUGUAAAAAGGCCCCGAUAUACUCUCACAGCAAAGUUCUUGAUCAUUCUUCGCUUAAGGGUAAAAAGAAGUUCUUUAUACACUAAGCUUUGAGAUACCCACACUUGCGGCCACUUAAGGGCACAUGCAUGCAACAAAAAGUAAGCAUGCAAGUGUCUUAGUUCUUAAAAACAGUGCAGUGCCCUUAAUUAACACUAAAUUAUUGAAUACCGCUUUGGAACGGUAUUCAAGGCUAAGUGUAUCCCAUCAUGCAUCAUGCUCUGGAAAUAAAUCAUGAGACUUUUUGCCAACACCCGCGAGAUGUCACAGAAACCUUUUCCAGAGUAAGCUAAAUAUUAAUAAUAAAUUAGAUUAGUGCUGUCAAAAUUUGCAUGUUAAUGCAUGCAAUUCUUUUUUUUUUUUUUUUUUUUUUUUAGUUUAACGUAUUAAAAAUAUUUAACGCAGUUAACGCAAGGACGGAGCUAGGAUUGGCCACCCAAUUCACAACUGCUGCUUCUGUCUCUUUUUUCUUGACAAGAAUUGCAUUUAUUUAGAUGCAGAACGUCUUUACAACCACAUCAAAUGGGAGACUUUUCAGAUGCGCUCUCUGACUUUGCUUCAGUGCCAGGCUUUAGUCAGACGAGCGUGGAAACAGGACAGGUGAUGAGGAGCUUCAGCAGAACAACAGUGAACUGCGGUCAGAUGAAAUGUUGUCAGGCCAUAUGUCAGUGAAAGUGAAUUUUCCUUUCUUGUCAGCCAAUAUACUGUGCUUGUAGCACAUGCUCUUCAAUCUCACGCACAAAUGCAGUUGUAUGCGCUGAGUAUCUUUUCAUAUUAAAGCACAAAUGAAACUAUGAGCAUG